rnacentral:lncRNA from 1 species
UUUUGUAAAUACCUGUGACCUAGUGUCGUGAGCGCUUAGCAACACCUGACACCCACUAAGCUCUCAGCCAGUGGUUCUGAAAGUGGUUCUAGACCAGCAACAACAGCAGUAGCAGCAGCACCUGUGAACUUGUUAGAAAUGCAAAGUUUCAGGCCCAUUCCAGUUCUACUGAAUCUGAAACUCGAAGGGAACAGCAACCUAUGUUUUAAUAAACCCCAAGAACUAUGGCUCCUUAACUCAGAAGGGCCCUUUUUUCUCAAAACAACCUCUGCAAGAUGUAACCUUGACUUCCCAGGAAAAUGAAAGGUAGUUAACAAUUUCCCCCAUCACCUAUGUAACUCCCUAAAUAAAUAAAAAUUACAGGCAGUUGCUCCUGGAGAUUACA